rnacentral:rRNA from 1 species
GGACUACUGGGGUAUCUAAUCCUGUUCGCUCCCCACGCUUUCGCUCCUCAGCGUCAGUACCGGCCCAGAGUGCCGCCUUCGCUACGGGUGUUCCUUCCGAUCUCUGCGCAUUUCACCGCUACACCGGAAAUUCCACACUCCCCUACCGGACUCGAGUCAUGGCAGUUUCGAAUGGCGCCUCCACGUUGAGCGUGGAGAUUUCACAUCCGACUUACCAAACCGCCUACGAGCUCUUUACGCCCAAUAAAUCCGGACAACGCUCGCCCCCUACGUAUUACCGCGGCUGCUGGCAC